rnacentral:rRNA from 1 species
AGUGAACGCUGGCGGUAGGCCUAACACAUGCAAGUCGAACGGCAGCACAGUAAGAGCUUGCUCUUACGGGUGGCGAGUGGCGGACGGGUGAGGAAUACAUCGGAAUCUACUUUUUCGUGGGGGAUAACGUAGGGAAACUUACGCUAAUACCGCAUACGACCUACGGGUGAAAGCAGGGGAUCUUCGGACCUUGCGCGAUUGAAUGAGCCGAUGUCGGAUUAGCUAGUUGGCGGGGUAAAGGCCCACCAAGGCGACGAUCCGUAGCUGGUCUGAGAGGAUGAUCAGCCAAACUGGAACUGAGACACGGUCCAGACUCCUACGGGAGGCAGCAGUGGGGAAUAUUGGGCAAUGGGCGCAAGCCUGAUCCAGCCAUACCGCGUGGGUGAAGAAGGCCUUCGGGUUGUAAAGCCCUUUUGUUGGGAAAGAAAAGCAGCAGGUUAAUACCCCGCUGUUCUGACGGUACCCAAAGAAUAAGCACCGGCUAACUUCGUGC